GACAGAGGGUGCAAACGUUGUUCGGAUUUACUGGGCGUAAAGCGCGUGUAGGCGGCUUGGUAAGUCGGGUGUGAAAUCCCAGGGCUCAACCCUGGAAGUGCAUUCGAAACUGCUCGGCUAGAGUUCUGGAGAGGAAGGUGGAAUGCUUGGUGUAGAGGUGAAAUUCGUAGAUAUCGGAAGGAACACCAGUGGCGAAAGCGGCUUCCUGGUCCAGCACCGACGUUCAGGCACGAAAGCGUGGGGAGCAAACAGG
rnacentral:rRNA from 1 species